rnacentral:rRNA from 1 species
CCUACGGGGGGCUGCAGUGGGGAAUAUUGCACAAUGGGGGAAACCCUGAUGCAGCGACGCCGCGUGAGUGAAGAAGUAUUUCGGUAUGUAAAGCUCUAUCAGCAGGGAAGAAAUAAAGUCCUUUGGACUUUGGACGGUACCUGACUAAGAAGCCCCGGCUAACUACGUGCCAGCAGCCGAGGUAAUACGUAGGGGGCAAGGGGUAGCCGGAUUUACUGGGGGUAAAGGGAGCGUAGACGGCCGCGCAAGUCUGUAGUGAAAUCCCCGGGAUGAACCCUGGAACGGCUGUGGAUACUGGGCGGCUUGAGUGCAGGAGAGGUGAGCAGAAUUCCUGGUGUAGCGGUGAAAUGCGUAGAGAUUAGGAGGAAGACCGGUGGCGAAGGCGGCUUCCUGGAC